rnacentral:rRNA from 1 species
UACAGAGGUGGCAAGCGUUGUUCGGAAUUACUGGGCGUAAAGCGUGCGCAGGCGGUGAUGUAAGACAGUUGUGAAAUCCCCGGGCUCAACCUGGGAGCUGCAUCUGUGACUGCAUCGCUGGAGUGCGGCAGAGGGGGAUGGAAUUCCGCGUGUAGCAGUGAAAUGCGUAGAUAUGCGGAGGAACACCGAUGGCGAAGGCAAUCCCCUGGGCCUGCACUGACGCUCAUGCACGAAAGCGUGGGGAGCAAACAGG